ACCCACUAGGAGACAACAAUACCUGCUUCAGAAUUAUCAACAAUCUUCUUUAUAUCGGCCCUAUCAUAGUCACAUUCCAUCUUACCUACAUUGUACACAAUCGACCAAGGUCAAUAAUCAUACACUGUCUGGACAGACAAACCAACAGUGCAAAAAUUUCUGCUAGUCAGAUACAUGACAUUGAUAUUGUGAGAGGAGUAUUCGAACUGGAGAAAUCAUCCGGAAAGAAACAUACAGUAGACUUUGCUUUUAAUACCUUGGAAAAAAUGACUUCCUGCACUUUUUCAGUGUAUUUACACACAAACCGGCUUGGCAAUGGGACAAACUUCCUCAAUCCUAUUUACAAAGUGCGUAUCUAUCAACUGAUAACGAAGCACUUCAUGAGUACUUCCAACCAUCUGAUGACAGUUUUCCCUUUUCAAUUGUGUGUAAUGAAAAUACUGAUGAAAGUACUGAUGAAAGCAAUGUCAUUGAGGAUGCUAUACCAAAACGGGUGAGAUUAUAAAUGUAUAUAAUCAUUUAUAUAUGCCCCCCUAUUUUACACUUAUGUAUAGGUCAGAAGUGUGUCCAUUAAAGCUGCUGGAGAACGAACAAGAAUAACUCUUAAGUCUCUAGAAUCACUGACAUACUUGUGCACGGAUACAACCAGGCUUUUGGACUUAGACACUCAACUCAAAGAUCUACUUCAAAAAUUUAGAGCAGACUUACCUCAAGAGGAACAACUCAUUGUUCGGCCAUCAAUUGUCUCUCGAGCUAUUGGAAUAAAGAGGAAGUAUGCACGGAUCAAAUCCAAAUUAUCCCGUUGCAGUAAAUUGCCGAAGACAAAGCCAAAAAGGAGAAGAAAAGCUGAUAGCAAGUUUCGUAACAGAGUUGGAACUAGAGCUGACCGUUUAGGUAUAAUAUAUGUACCCUUUCAUUUAUUAUAUACAGGAAAGACGAGAUUUGAUUCACACAAACAGUCAAUGAACAGAGAGGAAAGCUCAAAACUACCUCAGCAGACAAUGACUGAUUGUUCCCAGAUAACCUCCAGUCAAGUAGGUAAGUCAAAAGGUGAAGUACCCAGCUGAGUAACGGCCUUAGAGGCAAUAGCAUACUACUCCAUAAAACAUGCUAGUACGGGUUCAUAUGUUGCUUACCAUUAAAUGAAAGGUAGAGGAAGAAAAAGAAGGCGAUGUGGGGACUGCCGUGCUUGUAGAGAACAGCAAGAUUGUGGCACCUGCACCAACUGCAAAGACAAGCAGAAAUUUGGUGGCCCUGGGAGAAAGAAACAGUGUUGUAUCAAAAGAAAAUGUGACGGCUUGAAGCUUGGUAGCAAUGCUACCUAUACCAGGGAUCAAACUACUACCACCCUCUCUGAUCAAACUUCAAUUACCACAACACUCUCUAGCUCUGCUACCAGUACCAGUAGUACUACUACUACAUCUACCCUCACAAAAAUGAGUGCACGUACAUU